rnacentral:rRNA from 1 species
AUUGAACGCUGGCGGCAGGCCUAACACAUGCAAGUCGAACGGUAGCACAGAGAGCUUGCUCUCGGGUGACGAGUGGCGGACGGGUGAGUAAUGUCUGGGAAACUGCCCGAUGGAGGGGGAUAACUACUGGAAACGGUAGCUAAUACCGAAUAACGUCGCAAGACCAAAGUGGGGGACCUUCGGGCCUCACACCAUCGGAUGUGCCCAGAUGGGAUUAGCUAGUAGGUGGGGUAAUGGCUCACCUAGGCGACGAUCCCUAGCUGGUCUGAGAGGAGGAACAACCACACUGGAACUGGGACACGGUCCAGACUCCUACGGGAGGCAGCAUUGGGGAAUAUUGCACAAUGGGCGCAAGCCUGAUGCAGCCAUGCCGCGUGUAUGAAGAAGGCCUUCGGGUUGUAAAGUACUUUCAGCGGGGAGGAAGGCGGUGAAGUUAAUAACUUCACCGAUUGACGUUACCCGCAGAAGAAGCACCGGCUAACUCCGUGCCAGCCGCCGCGGUAA